CCUACGGGAGACAGCAGUGAGGAAUAUUGGUCAAUGGACGAGAGUCUGAACCAGCCAAGUAGCGUGAAGGAUGACUGCCCUAUGGGUUGUAAACUUCUUUUAUAUGGGAAUAAAACGUUCCACGUGUGGGAUUUUGUAUGUACCAUAUGAAUAAGGAUCGGCUAACUCCGUGCCAGCAGCCGCGGUAAUACGGAGGAUCCGAGCGUUAUCCGGAUUUAUUGGGUUUAAAGGGAGCGUAGGUGGAUUGUUAAGUCAGUUGUGAAAGUUUGCGGCUCAACCGUAACAUUGCAGUUGAAACUGGCAGUCUUGAGUACAGUAGAGGUGGGCGGAAUUCGUGGUGUAGCGGUGAAAUGCUUAGAUAUCACGAAGAACUCCGAUUGCGAAGGCAGUUCACUGGACUGCAACUGACACUGAGGCUCGAAAGUGUGGGUAUCAAACAGGAUUAGAUACCCCUGUAGUC
rnacentral:rRNA from 1 species